rnacentral:rRNA from 1 species
GAUGAACGCUGACAGAAUGCUUAACACAUGCAAGUCUUUGGCGAAGCUGUGCUUGCACCGCCUAGCCAAGGCGGACGGGUGAGUAACGCGUAAGGAACUUGCCCUGCAGUCAGGGAUAACAGACGGAAACGACUGAUAAGACCUGGUAAAGUCAGGCGGACUCAUGUCCAGCCUGAUGAAAAGAGAUGCUGCAGGAGAGCCUUGCGUCCUAUUAGCUUGUUGGUGGGGUAACGGCCCACCAAGGCGAUGAUAGGUAGCCGGCCUGAGAGGGUGGACGGCCACAAGGGGACUGAGAUACGGCCGUUACUCAUACGGGAGGCAGCAGUGGGGAAUAUUGGACAAUGGGGGCAACACUGAUCCAGCAUUUCUGUGUGCACGAUGAAGGUUUUCGGAUUGUAAAGUGCUUUCAGCAGGGAAGAAAAAAAUGACGGUACCUGCAGAAGAAGCGACGGCUAAAUACGUG